rnacentral:lncRNA from 1 species
AAUACUUUCCCUUAAUUCGAAUGCUUGGAUUCGUUACUCUCAUGAUGCCACACUAUUGGUUUCCCAGAGGAUUGUUGUUCGGUCCUUUAUAACACAUGGAGAUUGAAAGUUAAUCUCAAGAAAGUAAUUAUAGUUGAGCCAUUAUUUCAGAAGAAGGGGAAAUAACAAGGAAAGGCCAUGAUUCCAUCAGUUUUCAUAACUUACAAUACUAAAUAGCACAACAAAUUCGGAGAUGAAUCCUAGAGAAAAGUUCAGAGGUUUAACAAUCUACAAGGAAUCAUGUGAUCGGUGAGAUUCGUAAACAAGUAGAGUGAAAAAAAUUAAAUAAUGAGUCAACUAGAAGAAAAAGGUGAAAGAAAUUGGAAAUGAGAGGAAAAGAGGAGAAAACCUUAAAUCUCGAUGACAAUCAGCGUCGGUAUUGACAAUAAUGGCGGUGGUCUAGUGACGGUUCACAGUGACGAAGGGUAGUGAUCAAAGGAAAAGGAGGAAAGAAGAGAGGCAUGGAUGGUAGUGAGGUGGUGCUGCAACUAAGGCUCAC